GUGCUCGCUUCGGCAGCACAUAUACUAAAAUUGGAACGAUACAGAAAAUAUUAGCAUGGCCCCUGCACGAGGAUGACACGCAAAUUCUUGAAGCGUUCCAUAUUUUU
rnacentral:snRNA from 1 species